AAAUGGACAAAAAACCAAAAAAGAAGACAUGUUGUAAGAAGCCUCAUUUCCCCUGCAUUGUAUGCACUUAAGUAGCAAGCCAUCAUUGCAUGAUUCUCAUCCACACGAAGCAAACAAAGAACUCUUUUCUACAAUUGCUACGGAAGUGACUUCAGAAAAAAAACAAAAUCAUCUUCUACGUUUCGUUGCUUCUAACCAUGUCUCUACCUUUCUUUUUGUUCUGUCAUCUGCUGGUUCUCUGGAACAAAAUUUCAUAAAAUAAGUACAUCAAAUGAAGAAAUCUCAUUCUUCUUGACAAACAAUUUUAGACAGAAUAACUACAACACACAGAAGUAAGAAACACAAGCAUUCAUACCUUGGCGUUGGGUUUGUCCCUUCUCCUAGCAACCUUUGCAAAACAGAAUGUAAAAGCAAUACUACUUACUCAAUACAUUACUCCUCAAUACUUUGUCAUUCAACAAUUACAGCUAAUUCUUAGAGUUGGUUGAAUUUGAACAUACCAUGUUCCCAAAAUAUCUGUGAAGAUAAUAAAAAAGAAAAAGAAAGCGUAUAAAAGGAAAAAACUAUAACGUAACGUGAUGGUUGAGGAUAAAGCAAAAAGUGAAUUGAGUUUUUAAAAUCAUAAGAAGCAAAGAUAAGAAGGCAGAAAAGAAAUCAGUUAAGAACUACCCAGCAACUCCACAUUAGAUUCAAUUUUGUAACUUUCAUGUGCUAUUGUAAAUAAAUUUCUUACAAACUAUUUAUAGAAAUAAUUACAUUGUUGUCAUAUUAAAGAGACUAAUAAGGAAAGCAGCACACAGAUAAAUAGUCUGUAGUUCUUUUAUGCUGUUUGCUUUUAUCUGAACAUGUGAGAGAACAAAAAAAUAUCAAUGGAAGAAAGAAAGAGAAACUAAGGAGAGGUCUGCACAUGAUGUUCAUUAAAUUAAGAUGUCUAGAUCUUUUUUGACAACCUAUGAACCAUGAAUGCUAACCUAAAACCUCAAUGAACGCAAAUAAAAGCUCAUAAAAUAACUAAAUGAUUAUGAAUGAGCAACAAAUAAGUAACCAAAACAAAUUGAAAAUUACAAUCAGAUGUUCAUUAAAUUCGACGCUGGGCUUGUCUUUGCCCAUCACCAAGAAAUCAUUCAGAACAUUUACAUAGUUUAUUUUGCAGAGGAAAAAAUCAAAUUUAUUAAUGAAGGAAACGAUAAGAAAAUAUUUAAACAUAGGUUGCUCUAUUUUUAAUUUUUCAGCUAACAAUCAUCGAUAAAAUGCUGGAGCUAGGACAAACUGUUGAGUCUUCAUCCUCCCAAUUCCACCUAUAUUCCUGUUUUAAAGAUAAACUUAAAAUCUCCAAAACUUGAGCUAGAACCAAAACCAGAGAUGACCAGACAAAUGAUUAAUAUCUAUGUAAACUAUCCAGUAAUUCAUAUUGAACGUUCUCAAGUUCAUGAUCACAUCAAUAAACAACCAAUGAAAAACCAUGACAGGUUUUUAUCAACAGAUCGAAGAUGACAGUAAACAAACAAAAAAACAUCAAAAGGCUCAUUCUUUCACAGCAACUAAGAGAUAAGGUCAAAAACACAGCUAUAAAAAUAAAUAAUGGAACGAAGGAAAAAUUAGUUUUUAGAAAUACCCAAACUUAAAUGGGAGUAAUAAAAAUUAAUUUUUUAUAACUAAUGGAACCAAGAAAGAACAAUGAAAGCCUGAAAGAAGAAAAAAAAGCACAAAAUAAAACUGGAAAAAGAGAGACAACAAUCAAAAAUGGAAGGAAAACCCCGGAGAAGAAAAACGCAAAAUCAAAACAGAGAAAGGCACAAAGUACUGGAAACAGUAAAACAAACCAACCAAACUCAAAGAGAGAAAUCACGAACAACAAAGCAUACAAAUCAAAGAAUGAAGAACGCAAACUCAAAAAGGAAGUAAGGAAGGUUGUGUAGUACCCAAAAAAAUAUAAGAAAAACUCCUCACCCAAAUUUCAAAAGCAAGUCGGACAUGAAAUGAAAGCAUGGAAAGCAAGCUACGCACACCAUCCCGUGAAGAUCACACACGCUUCUGAAAACGCGCACGACUCGAAACACCAAACCCAUCAUAACUUUCCUUCUCAUCAGAACUUCGCUCCUCCAACCUCCACGUGGCAAAACUUGGGGACCUCAUUG
rnacentral:lncRNA from 1 species